GAACAUAAGUGUAAGUUUUUGCUGUUCUUCAUAUGCUCUGUUUUGGACUCUGAGAACCAGUCACUGCCGUUAGAAGUUACAUGACUGCCAUUAAAAGUUAUGUGACUUUCAUCUUUUUUAUGACCCGUUUACAGCUGGGCGUUCUGUCCUGCUUCAUCAGGGUGCUCAGGCCCAGUUCUGCAGUUGUCUGAAUGCUUAGCCUCAGCCUACACAGGAUUUCUCUCCAUGCAUGUCCGCUGGCUGGAGUGAGCAGACAUCAAUCACUCAUGUGAAGGCACAUUCCCAUUCUAAGCUCUUCAACAUUUGAGUGGACGAUAAGCCUGGAGAUAUAUAUACAAGGUUGAGUGGUCUUUUAGAGACUUGCAUUUAUAAAGAGACCUCCAUGAAGAGAAUCUUAUCGAUGUGUUCACCUUGCUUUCUUAAGAACCCAAAGACUCCCAGCGCAGGCUGAGUCUUUGAAAUGCCAGAUCACUAUUGCAGUCUUCAGGACGG